GAUGAACGCUAGCGGCAGGCUUAAUACAUGCAAGUCGUGGGGCAGCAGGUUUGUAGCAAUACAGAUGCUGGCGACCGGCAAACGGGGUGCGGAACACGUACAGAACCUUCCUUUGAGCGGGGAAUAGCCCAGAGAAAUUUGGAUUAAUACCCCAUAGUAUAAUGAAAGUGGCAUCACUUUAUUAUUAAAGAUUUAUCACUCGAAGAUGGCUGUGCGGCUGAUUAGGUAGUUGGCGGGGUAAAGGCCCACCAAGCCUGCGAUCAGUAACUGGUGUGAGAGCACGACCAGUCACACGGGCACUGAGACACGGGCCCGACUCCUACGGGAGCAGCAGUAAGGAAUAUUGGUCAAAUGGAGGCAACUCUGAACCAGCCAUGCCGCGU
rnacentral:rRNA from 1 species